rnacentral:lncRNA from 1 species
CCGCUGCAUCCGCUUGUAGGUGCCUGCCAGCAUCUUGGGCCAUUCGGGUUGCGGGGGUGUGGGCCGGUUGUCUACCGGCAAGUUCAGGGCUGUGGCGGUGGUGACUACUUUGAGUCCACCAAUUGUCUCCUGCUGCGGCUGUUGGUGUAGUGGCUGCUGCAGCUGCUGCCUACCCGCCGGUUGUGGCUGCUGCUGUUGUUGCUGGUUCUCAGCACCGACCCUCAACAGCUCCACCUUUUCCACAUUGAGGCGCUGGCCUGACGCCCUUGCGAAGGUCUCCAUGGCUUCUAGGAACGACGGUACUGACUCCUCGCCCUCCAGCGCCACUUCAGCAUCGUCCGCGAACUGGCAGGCUGUGACGCGGUCCUGGUCAUUCGGCCGUAGUUUGACCCCCACAUCUCGGCUCNNNNNNNNNNNNNNNNNNNNNNNNNNNNNNNNNNNNNNNNNNNNNNNNNNAUACAUCAUAACAUUUCUAGUUGUUAGAAAGGCGGCGGGGAAAGGAGCAUCCUUACGCGCACGCAAUUAGAACCCCGCCGUGAGAUGCGUCGGUGGCUGUGAGGCAGGUGGGGACAUGCCUGGAGGCUGAAAGGGCUUCCGGACGCAUAAAUCGCACCAGGCGCCGUCGUACGCCGGACCAACGAUGCAUCAUAACAGUAACUAGUUGCUAGAAAGGCGGCAGGAAUAGGAGCAUCCAUACGCGCACGCAAUUAGAACCCCGCCGUGAGAUGCGUCGGUGGCUGUGAGGCAGGUGGGGACAUGCCUGGGAGGCUGAAAGGGCUUCCGGACGCAUAAAUCGCACCAGGCGCCGUCGUACGCCGGACCAACGAUGCAUCAUAACAGUAACUAGUUGCUAGAAAGGCGGCAGGAAUAGGAGCAUCCAUACGCGCACGCAAUUAGAACCCCGCCGUGAGAUGCGUCGGUGGCUGUGAGGCAGGUGGGGACAUGCCUGGAGGCUGAAAGGGCUUCCGGACGCAUAAAUCGCACCAGGCGCCGUCGUACGCCGGACCAACGAUGCAUCAUAACAGUAACUAGUUGCUAGAAAGGCGGCAGGAAUAGGAGCAUCCAUACGCGCACGCAAUUAGAACCCCGCCGUGAGAUGCGUCGGUGGCUGUGAGGCAGGUGGGGACAUGCCUGGGAGGCUGAAAGGGCUUCCGGACGCAUAAAUCGCACCAGGCGCCGUCGUACGCCGGACCAACGAUGCAUCAUAACAGUAACUAGUUGCUAGAAAGGCGGCAGGAAUAGGAGCAUCCUUACGCGCACGCAAUUAGAACCCCGCCGUGAGAUGCGUCGGUGGCUGUGAGGCAGGUGGGGACAUGCCUGGGAGGCUGAAAGGGCUUCCGGACGCAUAAAUCGCACCAGGCGCCGUCGUACGCCGGACCAACGAUGCAUCAGAACAUCAACUAGUUGCCAGAAAAGCGGCGGGGAACGCGUGUUCAUCAGUCACGCUCGCUAGCCAACCAUCAUGGGGAAGGGAUGUAAGACCGUCAUCCUCUGGGAUGGGUCGAACUACUCCCACUGGCGCGGCGAGUUAGGCGAUUUCCUCGCAACGUCCAAGUUGAAGUGCUACAUCAACAACCCGUCGCCUCCGAGCCGCAACACCCAAGACGCCCUGGAGGAGGACGCACAGGCGCUCAGCUACCUGCGUCUGUCCUGUGAACUGCCUAUCAAGCAGGUGCUCAUGAAUUGCCCAACCGGUCUCGCCGCCAUGCAGCUCUUACAGCAACAGUUCCGUUCUGCAUCCCAGGCCCGGCUGAGCCUGGUUGAGCCGCAGAUGCAGCUGAACAUGCGUGAUGGGGAGACAACCGCUGACUUCAUUUAGCGGUCAGAGCAGCUCCGUAGCGAUAUAAUUGUGGCCGGCGGCCAGUGGGACGAGAGCACGGUGCGCCACGCCAUUCUCCAUGGCCUGCCUCCGCAGUACGCCAUCACCAUCGAGUUCACGAUGUAUCAGCCCAACUUAACGACCCCACAGCUCGUGCUCAUGCUGCGGGAGAAGGACAACAACCUCAAGACCCAAGCAAGCAAGACCAGCCUGGUGGGAGCUGUCGGCCCUGGCCGUGCCACCAGUGGAGUCGGCAGCACCGCCAGUGCUGCAGGCGCCGUGGGGGCCGGCGACACCUGCCGCUACUGCGGACGGUCCCGUGGCCCGGGCGGUUGUCAGAGCCCAAGGCUGGAGUGCAGGGUGGGUGAGCUCCAGGUAGGCGGACAGCGUGCGUACCCAGGGGUGUAGGCCCCGGGCCUCACUGUUGGUUGCCGCUGCCACCUCCUCGUCCCCGCCUGCUCCCCCAGUUUCUUCCCCUCCCGCACCCCUACCUUCACAACCUGCCGCCGGUAGUGCCUGUGCAAUGAAUCGCACGGCCCAGACUGCGUGGCGAGCGUGGAUGUGCUGUCGGAGCGGCAGCAGGCCGAAACCCCCGGUUGACGGAUGGCCUACUAAAAGGCUGCCGGGUACACCUGUGAGACGCUGGCCUGGGUCUUCUGGGCCCUGUUGCCGGUCGACCAGGCGGGCCGUCAGCCGCUCGAUGUGGUCCAGAGUGCUGUCUGGAGGGGGUCCGCCAUGUUCCAUGUGCCAGGUGACCGUCUGCAGGCCGUAGGCGGACGUGGCGGUGGCCCUGCCGAAGGCUGACAGUGGGAAGCGGGCGAGCCGCUGCAUCCGCUUGUAGGUGCCUGCCAGCAUCUUGGGCCAUUCGGGUUGCGGGGGUGUGGGCCGGUUGUCUACCGGCAAGUUCAGGGCUGUGGCGGUGGUGACUACUUUGAGUCCACCAAUUGUCUCCUGCUGCGGCUGUUGGUGUAGUGGCUGCUGCAGCUGCUGCCUACCCGCCGGUUGUGGCUGCUGCUGUUGUUGCUGGUUCUCAGCACCGACCCUCAACAGCUCCACCUUUUCCACAUUGAGGCGCUGGCCUGACGCCCUUGCGAAGGUCUCCAUGGCUUCUAGGAACGACGGUACUGACUCCUCGCCCUCCAGCGCCACUUCAGCAUCGUCCGCGAACUGGCAGGCUGUGACGCGGUCCUGGUCAUUCG